ACUGCGAGACCGACCAAUUCUACGGUGACAGAGCUAUCUAUGCCAACUUAAGAUAUCACCGGUUGCUUCCACAGUGCUGUUGAUGCCAACGGAAGAUGUGUCAGCAAAAAAGGAAAAGAAAAAGAUCUCAAGUUGUGAGAGUUUGCGCAGGGCAAUUUUGUGUUGAUUUUGUCGGGCUUUUCCUGAUGCACAACUUCCGCUAUUUAUAGCACUGGACCCUGAAUCUGAGAUAGAAUCCUAUUCGGACUAGGUUUUCCCUCUCCGG
rnacentral:lncRNA from 1 species